rnacentral:lncRNA from 1 species
CGGGUGGCUCCAAUCCAGCAGCAGCAGGACUCUGCAAACAAAGCAAAGAGCCCCGAGCUGUGGGAGAUUUACAUGAAAUUACUCGGUUAACCUUUUCCUAGAAGUAAAGCAGGGGCUGCAAGCCCUUCCUCCAGGAGUUAGGGACUGCAGGUGAUGCUCUCCCGGCUGGGUCAGGCAAGUUUCCCCAAUUACAAGGUCCACUGUGCCCUAAUUAAAUUAAAAAAUAAUGAAAAAGCAAAAAGAGACAGGCCCUAUUCCUGAGGUCUAAUAAAUUUGGGGUGGGCACAGCAGGCCCCAUAUGCCAAGCAGGGCUGAAGCUGGGGUCUGUGCUCGACGCAGCGUCCCCCUCCCCCUGUUUUUCUUUUUGGGAUUGCUUUGUCACAGCCCCUCCAUUCAGCCCCGCCGGCCGGGUUCCCCCGAAGGUCAGCCUGCGUCUCCGGAGGAACAACACACCCCACACGGGGAAUGCUUUACAACCUUCCCCGUCCCUCCGCACCACCCCAGCUCCAGCGAGCAGCCUCCAUCGGGUGCUAUUCCCCCAGAAACACCCGAGCAUCGCGGCUUUUUAAGCAUAAAUUCCUGUCCGAGGUCCAAGCCGCACGGUGCCUCCCAGCCAGCUCCAGGAACAACAUCAAAGCGCUGACCUACAAAUCUUGCAUCCUGUCCAACAGCUACUUACCAGGACGUGAGGAACCUCGUAUCUCGUGCAUCUUCUCAAAAUGGAGCCAAAAGACGUUUUUUUUUCAGUUUCGUCGGAGAGCUUUUGCUGCUCUUGUGGGAUUUUAGUGCCCCUCGGAGCUGGUUUCCUUUUCCCCGUUGGAAGACCAUGAGAAAUGACCGGGGAAAAACUUGCCAGCUACGUGGGAGAAGCAAGGAGCCUCAUAUCAUGAGGAAUGCUGUCAGAUGAGCAAGGAAGAAAAUGGAAAUGCACUUACCUAUUUCCUUCUAGUCCCAUCACUAGUUAAUAAGUUUGCACGUGGGGGGAAAUCAAAUGUUUGUGAUACUUAAAUUGACAGCAUCUCCUUAAGAUAACGAUUGCAAAUACUGGAAGUAACUGGGACAGGAGAAAGAACCCUGAUUUUUUUUUUCCACUCUUCCACUUGUACCAAAAGAGCGCGCUUCCAAAAUAUUUUAAUGAAGAUGAUGUUAAUUCGCAUCCCGUCCCGUACGGACAACUGGAGCCAAAGCCGAGCUCUGCUGUUUGUCAUUAGUUACUAAAAAAAAAUAAAAAAAUAACAUAAAACGGCAACUAUUUCAGUUAAUUCUGCAUAAUUCAACUCCUCUUAUCUGGAGAGGCAUCCUCCAUCUGCGUUCCUGCAGCUCCUCCUCCUGCUGCCAGGCAUCUGGGGGAGGAGAGGGUUCGGGUCCCUUCUGGAUGAGUCUCAGCUUUGCUGAUCCCACUGCUCCUCCCCGGUACUUCCCUGGGGGGGAAGAUCCUGAAUCCUCUCCCCCUCCUUAGCAGAGGAACUGCCAGGUGUAGAAAAGCCCCCGAGCUUCGAAGCACCUGAGGAUGAGUUGUUCCCAGCCCAGAGCAGAAUCCUAAAAUCAUUUAGGUUGCAAGAGACCCUUAACAUCACGUCCAACCAUCCGAAAAAAAAUCCUACACAUGGCCCCAGUAACACCUGGGACGAGCUGGUCGAUGACGCUGCUUUAGGACAGCGUGUACACAGGCUCCCGUGUCCCUACAGCUCCAGAGCCAAGGUCAGGGAAGUGUUUUUAUGAGGUUUGGCCUUAUUUAUAAGGUUUGUCGUUAAACAGCGCCUGAGUGCAGCUUGCUCUGGGGUCAGGCCACCCUCUGCUCCCUGCUGGAGGAGACUGAAUAUCAGUCCUGCUGAAUAUCAGUUCCCUCCUUGCUCAGGAGCCCAUAAAAGCCUUUAUGGGUUCCAUCCUCAAUAUUUUCUACGUGUUUCCCGGGCUCCUAAGCCGUCACCAACAGGUGACCGGAUCCUUACCUGAAUUUAAGGUAAAUUUGGGACUUUGAAGCGAAGGCUUGGGUCCUUCCUCAGCCAAAAUUAAGGGGAUUGAGAGGGGUUGUAUGACAGCAGAGCCGUGCUCCCUGCUCACUCCAGCCAUUGGGUUUUCCAGCCAGGAUAAAGCAACCUGCGGCUCCUGAAUGCACCAGCUCCAAACCUGCAGGGGAGAAUUUCAAGAUCUGCUCAGCGUCAGGGGUGAACAGGGCUGAUUUACACCUCGAGAUAACGGGCACACGAGCAAGCCUGCUUGUUUGUAAACCGAGGCUGAUUUAUCCCUCUCGAUUCAGGAUCUUCCAGGAGGCACGGCAUGUCAGCUCCAUUCAGCAGCCCUUUCAUUUAUUAUUUCAUUCCCGCAUCAUCUGAACAAAGAUGGGCAUUGUCCGAGGCCCUGGCUGACAAACAG